UACAGAGGGUGCGAGCGUUGUCCGGAAUCACUGGGCGUAAAGGGCGCGUAGGUUGCGCGACAAGUCAGUGGUGAAAGCUCGACGCUUAACGUCGAGUCGGCCACUGAUACUGUUGGGCUUGAGCACUGUAGAGGCUAAUGGAAUUCCGGGUGUAGCGGUGGAAUGCGUAGAGAUCCGGAAGAACACCGGUGGCGAAGGCGGUUAGCUGGGCAGUUGCUGACACUGAGGCGCGACAGCGUGGGGAGCAAACAGG
rnacentral:rRNA from 1 species